rnacentral:rRNA from 1 species
UACGGAGGGGGCUAGCGUUGUUCGGAAUUACUGGGCGUAAAGGGCGCGUAGGCGGUUCGCUAAGUUGAAUGUGAAAACUCUGGGCUUAACCCAGAGCCUGCAUUCAAUACUGGCGGGCUAGAGUUCUGGAGGGGAUAGCGGAAUUCCUGGUGUAGCGGUGAAAUGCGUAGAUAUCAGGAGGAACACCGGUGGCGAAGGCGGCUAUCUGGACAGAGUCUGACGCUGAGGCGCGAAAGCUAGGGGAGCAAACAGG